rnacentral:rRNA from 1 species
GACGAACGCUGGCGGCGUGCUUAACACAUGCAAGUCGAACGGAAAGGCCUCUUUCGGGGGGUACUCGAGUGGCGAACGGGUGAGUAACACGUGAGUAACCUGCCCUUGACUUUGGGUUAGCUUCAGGAAACUGGGGCUAAUACCGGAUAGGAGCUCCUGCUGCAUGGUGGGGGUUGGAAAGUUUCGGCGGUUGGGGAUGGACUCGCGGCUUAUCAGCUUGUUGGUGGGGUAGUGGCUUACCAAGGCUUUGACGGGUAGCCGGCCUGAGAGGGUGACCGGCCACAUUGGGACUGAGAUACGGCCCAGACUCCUACGGGGGGCAGCAGUGGGGAAUAUUGCACAAUGGGUGGAAGCCUGAUGCAGCAACGCCGUGUGCGGGAUGACGGCCUUCGGGUUGUAAACCGCUUUCGCUCAUGACGAAGCUUUGUGUGACGGUAGUGGGUAAAGAAGCACCGGCUAACUACGUG